AAUGACUUGUCAUACCACCCUGAAUACGCCCGAUCUCGUCUGAUCGCGGAAGCUAAGCAGGGUUGGGCCUGGUUAGUACUUGGAUGGGAGACCGCCUGGGAAUACCAGGUGCUGUAAGUG
ensembl:rRNA 5S_rRNA 5S ribosomal RNA